rnacentral:sRNA from 1 species
UUGCAUCUGAGGCCAGUGAGGAUGAGAACCUCCGGGGGCAGGAGGUUCGACUCCAGCGAAGCGAGAGAACGUUGCGUCAGCAACGGCCCGCAGGGCGAGCCACGAAGUGGUGAGUCAUCCUCUAUCACCGACCA